AGUGAACGCUGGCGGCAGGCCUAACACAUGCAAGUCGAACGGCAGCACGGCAGUAGCAAUACUGUGGGUGGCGAGUGGCGGACGGGUGAGGAAUACAUCGGGAUCUACCCUGUUGUGGGGGGAUAACGUAGGGAAACUUACGCUAAUACCGCAUAAGAACUGAGGUUGAAAGCGGCGGACCGCAAGGCGUCGCGCGAUUGGAUGAACCGAUGUCCGAUUAGCUAGUUGGCGGGGUAAAGGCCCACCAAGGCGACGAUCGGUAGCUGGUCUGAGAGGACGACCAGCCACACUGGAACUGAGACACGGUCCAGACUCCUACGGGAGGCAGCAGUGGGGAAUAUUGGACAAUGGGCGCAAGCCUGAUCCAGCCAUGCCGCGUGGGUGAAGAAGGCCUUCGGUUGGUUAAAG
rnacentral:rRNA from 1 species